rnacentral:rRNA from 1 species
CCUUUGACGUUAGCGGCGGACGGGUGAGUAACACGUGGGUAACCUACCUAUAAGACUGGGAUAACUUCGGGAAACCGGAGCUAAUACCGGAUAAUAUUUCGAACCGCAUGGUUCGAUAGUGAAAGANGGUUUUGCUAUCACUUAUAGAUGGACCCGCGCCGUAUUAGCUAGUUGGUAAGGUAACGGCUUACCAAGGCGACGAUACGUAGCCGACCUGAGAGGGUGAUCGGCCACACUGGAACUGAGAAACGGUCCAGACUCCUACGGGAGGCAGCAGUC